AUGACAUCUUGUGUAGACAACCCGUGGACUCUUGUCCCCGACACAAUUAAAUCGUGUCAGAAGAGUUUAUACAGGUGUCGGGUAAUAGUAAACGUUCCAAAUAAUUCUGGACAAAGAGAGAACCUCUCGUCUUUCUCUGAACGGGAGGUGGAAGGUCGUGUCACCGGAGCCGAUAUAUAUACUCGCAUGGGAAUUGUUAAACGAUCGAUCCCGCGCGCUCCACCCCAACAAUUCAAAAUUGGUUAGACUUAAAUGUAAACAACAUUCUGUAAAAAAUUUACCUUUAAUAUUCUAACCAGCAUAGGGUGAAGUGAUG
rnacentral:lncRNA from 1 species